rnacentral:other from 1 species
CCAAGUUUCAACAGUAUCUUACGGUGAAGAAAAACCAGCUGUAUUAGGUCAUGAUGAAGCGGCUUACUUUAAAAACCGUCGUGCAGUAUUAGCAUACUAAUUUUUG